rnacentral:misc_RNA from 1 species
UGGCUCUCGCAUCGAUGAAGAACGCAGCGAAAUGCGAUAAGUAAUGUGAAUUGCAGAAUUCAGUGAAUCAUCGAAUCUUUGAACGCACCUUGCGCUCCUUGGUAUUCCGAGGAGCAUGCCUGUUUGAGCGUCACGUGAACAUCUCACCUGUGCCGUUGUGAAACGGUCGCAGGCUGGGGACUUGGACUGUGCCGUGCCCGGCUCGUCCUGAAAUGCAUUAGCUCGGUUCGAAGCGACCGUCUCGGUGUGAUUAGACAUCUACGCCUUGACCAAGCUUUCGCGGGCUCACAGCGACCCAUAUUUUAAUGCUCUGACCUCAAAUCAGGUAGGACUACCCGCUGA